GUACUCACUUCCGGCGGUUCAUAUACUUAAAUUGGAACGAUACAGAGAAGAUUAGCAUGGCCCCUGCGCAAGGAUGACAAGCAAAAUCGUAAAGCUUUCCACAUUUUU